rnacentral:rRNA from 1 species
UACGGAGGGUGCAAGCGUUAAUCGGAAUUACUGGGCGUAAAGCGUGCGUAGGCGGUUUGUUAAGUCCGCUGUGAAAGCCCUGGGCUCAACCUGGGAAUUGCAGUGGAUACUGGCAAGCUAGAGUGCGGUAGAGGAUGGUGGAAUUCCCGGUGUAGCGGUGAAAUGCGUAGAGAUCGGGAGGAACAUCAGUGGCGAAGGCGGCCAUCGUGGAUCAACACUGACGCUGAGGCGCGAAAGCUAGGGGAGCAAACGGG